rnacentral:rRNA from 1 species
GUUAAAAAGCUCGUAGUUGGAUUUCGGAACCGGCCGAUUGGUCCGUCCUCUGGAUCGUGUACUGAUCGGUCUGUUCUUCUUCGCGAAGACCGCGUGUGCUCUUAACUGAGUGGGCGUGGGAUUCGCGACGUUUACUUUGAAAAAAUUAGAGUGUUCAAAGCAGGCAGUCGCUUGAAUAUCUCAGCAUGGAAUAAUAGAAUAGGACUUUGGUCUUAUUUUGUUGGUUUCCGAGACCGAAGUAAUGAUUAAUAGGGACAGCCGGGGGCAUUCGUACUCAGACGACAGAGGUGAAAUUCUUGGACCGUCUGAGGACGAGCUACUGCCGAAAGCAUUUGCC